UACAUCCAAGCCGGCACACCGUCCCAGCCGUCUGUCUCUUUCCCCUGACGCUUUCACGGGGCCUCUUUCAGGCCAAAGAAACCGAGUGGAUUUCCAGCCAUGCCUAGAACGAGCCUCGGCUAGAAAAUCAGCUGCUGCAUAGCCUCGUCACAGAUUUAGCAAGGCUAAACAUGGGAAGUUGGAAGCAUAAACGUGGGAGAGCAGGCCGGGUCUCCAGCUCCUCUCCUGUGACUUUGUGGGGCAGUGCCCUGGGGAUGCGAGCCAGGCUGGGCCAGCUGAACUCACAGCCUCAGACGACCCCAGAGCUCCGAAUGGCCAGCUGUGUCCGGGCAGCCUUCCCUGGCCCCGCAGGGAGCAAAGUAUGAGUCCCUCUCCAAAUUCAAAAUCCAGGAGCAUUUUCUGAUGUGAAAGGUUCUAGUCUUACUGAAGCAACUGCCUCCUCCUUUUCGUACUGUUACCCUUUGCUCUUUAUGUAAGGGGAAAAAAUGGCUAGAUUCUCUAACUCUUUAUCCCUAUUACUCUAUAUUAAUGAUAGACCUAUUUAUUUCAAUGGGCUGUGUCAGUGGUCAAAAGUUAAAUGCUUAAAACCUGAUGAAUUACUAAUAGUUGGUAAAUAAUAUUUAAUGUAUAAUUGUACAUUUCAGAAGUAUAAAAUUAACAUUGGCAGGCAGGUGCCGUUAUAAUUUCUAUCCUUCAGUCAGGUAAACUGAGGCAGCAGGAAACCGAGUCAUGUCCACGUGGGCAUAACUGCUAAGGGAGGCAGGAUUUGAACUCAAGGAGUUUGACUCCUGAGCCCAGCCUCACCAGAAUGACCCUUUUGAAAAAUUAU